rnacentral:rRNA from 1 species
GAUGAACGCUGGCGGCGUGCUUAACACAUGCAAGUCGAACGGGAAUUAUUUUAUUGAAACUUCGGUCGAUUUAAUUUAAUUCUAGUGGCGGACGGGUGAGUAACGCGUGGGUAACCUGCCUUAUACAGGGGGAUAACAGUCAGAAAUGGCUGCUAAUACCGCAUAAGCGCACAGAGCUGCAUGGCUCAGUGUGAAAAACUCCGGUGGUAUAAGAUGGACCCGCGUUGGAUUAGCUGGUUGGGGGGGUAACGGCCCACCAAGGCGACGAUCCAUAGCCGGCCUGAGAGGGUGAACGGCCACAUUGGGACUGAGACACGGCCCAGACUCCUACGGGAGGCAGCAGUGGGGAAUAUUGCACAAUGGGGGAAACCCUGAUGCAGCGACGCCGCGUGAAGGAAGAAGUAUCUCGGUAUGUAAACUUCUAUCAGCAGGGAAGAUAGUGACGGUACCUGACUAAGAAGCCCCGGCUAACUACGUG